rnacentral:rRNA from 1 species
AACGAACGCUGGCGGCAUGCCUAACACAUGCAAGUCGAACGAGACCUUCGGGUCUAGUGGCGCACGGGUGCGUAACGCGUGGGAAUCUGCCCUUGGGUUCGGAAUAACAGCGAGAAAUUGCUGCUAAUACCGGAUGAUGACGUAAGUCCAAAGAUUUAUCGCCCAAGGAUGAGCCCGCGUAGGAUUAGCUAGUUGGUGAGGUAAAGGCUCACCAAGGCGACGAUCCUUAGCUGGUCUGAGAGGAUGAUCAGCCACACUGGGACUGAGACACGGCCCAGACUCCUACGGGAGGCAGCAGUGGGGAAUAUUGGACAAUGGGCGAAAGCCUGAUCCAGCAAUGCCGCGUGAGUGAUGAAGGCCUUAGGGUUGGUAAAGCUCUUUUACCCGGGUAUGAUAAUGACAGUACCGGGAGAAUAAGCUCCGGCUAACUCCGUGCCAGC